rnacentral:lncRNA from 1 species
GUAUGGACCUUCACUCAGUUCAUUCAAAGCUUUCUCUGUGUUCCAAAUUCAGAAGUUGAAGAAGAGGUUGCUGGCCAAUCAGCAGAGCAAAUAUAUUGUAAUUACUCCAGCCCUCAAAGCCUCUUUUACAGGUAAUUUCAGAGCACAUGUCCAAAAUGCAUAGCAGAGAGGUGCCCAUGCUGGCUUCAGAAAUGGAAGCAAUGACAUGGAUGUAGCUAUGCUCCCUUUAGGCUGAGAUGGUUCCUAGCUCUUUGUUAUGUCAUGUGCAUGUAUCAGCUUUGCUGGAGAUAGCUGCAGGCUGGCUGUCCUGUGUGCUGCUGAGGGGCAGGUAGAUAUGCUCUUUGCAUGUCUGUCAGUAAGAGAGGAUGUAAUCUUGCUUAGAUUAAAUUAGGGUUCUUUGCAGUCAGGAAUGCUCACAAAGCAUGUUUUGCAUUGUGUGUUUCACACAGUUUACCUGAAGGCAUUUCUGGGACCAGGGGCUAGAAGAAUGUUCGAUUUUAAAUUCACAGCGUCUCCCACUAGAGUGCUGCAGCUGUUGAACAUCUCACUGCAGGACCUCAGUUUGGGAGUUCUGAGCCUCACCUAUUGAUGCAAAGCUUAAUGACAUUUAUGAGAUAUCGCUACAGACCACAGCUGAUGCAAGACUGGAAGUAAAAGCACUUGCUGUAUGACUGAGCAGUAAGUUUGGUUUUUUUAUGUGUCUCUGAUUCAAGACAUAUUUCUAUGGCCAUAUUUUAUGACAAAUUAAUUUUUCUCUUCCUCAAUAAGCUGUUGACUCCAUUCAACUAUUAGAGGUACAGUAGAUGUAACUAUCUUAAAAACAUACAUUUUGUGCACAAUUAAUUUUUCAUGUUAUUGUUCCUGAUCUUUAUAGUUUUUCCCUCUCCAAGCCUACAGUUUAGAGGUUGCUCAGCUACAGAGGAUGUUAUUAUGUUCAUAAGAAAAGCACAUCUGCACACUCCACUUUUUAAAUCAUCGCCUUUGUGAUUUGAUAAUUUCUGGAUGUUACUGCCAAUAACUUCUCUGCGACUGCUGUAACUACUUGAAAUAAUAAAAAAU